UUUUUUUAACAGAAUAUGCCGGAAUCGACCCCAUCCGAUGUUGUGUCAAUACAUAGAUAAACGUUGUCAAUUUCCGGCGCCGAAAAUGUCAACGUAAAAUGUCAGUAAAAGUUGGAAUCUUUUCUUCUUUGUAGACUUUGUAUAAAUUUUGUUUAUCUUAAUGUCAGGAAAGUCAGGCAGUAUGUUGAAACCAUAUCAACGUUAUACCAAACCAGGCUUUACUUGGUAAACUAACAGUUUAAGGCCUGCAUCAACAUCAUGAGAUUGACUUGUUGACAUCGUAGAUCAUCGUACUUUAAUAAAGUUGAGAAAAGAUUCAUUUCGUGCAUAUUGUUACCGGCCC
rnacentral:lncRNA from 1 species